CGUGUAGGCUGCUCGGAAAGUCGGAUGUGAAAGCCCUGGGCUCAACCUAGGAAGUGCAUUCGAAACUUCCGAGCUGGAGUGCUGGAGAGGAAGGCGGAAUUCUCGGUGUAGAGGUGAAAUUCGUAGAUAUCGAGAGGAACAUCGGUGGCGAAGGCGGCCUUCUGGACAGCAACUGACGCUGAGACGCGAAAGCGUGGGGAGCAAACA
rnacentral:rRNA from 1 species